CCUACGGGGGGCUGCAGUGGGGAAUUUUGGACAAUGGGGGCAACCCUGAUCCAGCCAUGCCGCGUGCGGGAAGAAGUCCUUCGGGUUGUAAACCGCUUUUGUCAGGGAAGAAAUCUUCCGAGCUAAUACCUUGGGAGGAUGACGGUACCUGAAGAAUAAGCACCGGCUAACUACGUGCCAGCAGCCGCGGUAAUACGUAGGGUGCAAGCGUUAAUCGGAGCGAGCGGGCGUGAAGCUGGCGCAGGGGUUUGAAAGCCCCGGGCUUAACCUGGGAACUGCACUUGUGACUGUACGGCUGGAGUACGGCAGAGGGGGAUGGAAUUCCGCGUGUAGCAGUGAAAUGCGUAGAUAUGCGGAGGAACACCGAUGGCGAAGGCAGUCCCCUGGGCCUGUACUGACGCUCAUGCACGAAAGCGUGGGGAGCAAACAGGAUUAGAUACCCGUGUAGUC
rnacentral:rRNA from 1 species